AUGCCCAGGCUGCUGCCCAACCUCGUCUUACGGCCUGCCCACCUCCGCCGCCUCUCUUCGUGGCUGCUAGGCGCCUGCAUCGGCUACCCCAACGACUUGGGCUACGCCGACCACCACCACCACCACCACCAGGGCCAGUACCACGACGACCACGGCCUCAAGGAGCUGGAGGAGCACUGCCCGGCGGUGCGCUUCGACGAGCUCUCCGUAUCCAACGUCGGCACCAGCGCCGGGACGCCCAUCCACCCAGAGGGAUGCGUGGUGUGCCUUAGUGACUUCCACGGUGCCGCACGUGUUCGCCGGCCGCGGGGCUGCCAGCACGUCUUCCACUUUGGCUGCCUCGACCGCUGGGCCGCUCACGGCCACCGCACCUGCCCGCUUUGCCGGGCUCCGUUCCUCCCGCCCUUCCUCCUGCCCAUGCCGUUCCCGACGUCGUGA
rnacentral:rRNA from 1 species